CAGCAGCCGCGGUAAUACGGAGGGGGCUAGCGUUGUUCGGAAUUACUGGGCGUAAAGCGUACGUAGGCGGCUUUGUAAGUUAGAGGUGAAAGCCUGGUGCUCAACACCAGAACUGCCUUUAAGACUGCAUCGCUUGAAUCGCGGAGAGGUGAGUGGAAUUCCGAGUGUAGAGGUGAAAUUCGUAGAUAUUCGGAAGAACACCAGUGGCGAAGGCGGCUCACUGGCUCAUACUGGACGCUGAGGUGCGAAAGCGUGGGGAGCAAACAGGAUUAGAUACCCGCGUAGUCCCUGUCUCUUAUAA
rnacentral:rRNA from 1 species